CAGCCGCCACGGUAAUACAGAGGGUGCAAGCGUUAAUAGGAAUUACUGGGCGUAAAGCGCGCGUAGGUGGUUUGUUAAGUUGGAUGUGAAAUCCCCGGGCUCAACCUGGGAACUGCAUCCAAAACUGGCAAGCUAGAGUAUGGUAGAGGGUGGUGGAAUUUCCUGUGUAGCGGUGAAAUGCGUAGAUAUAGGAAGGAACACCAGUGGCGAAGGCGACCACCUGGACUGAUACUGACACUGAGGUGCGAAAGCGUGGGGAGCAAACAGGAUUAGAUACCCCGGUAGUCCCUGUCUCUUAUAC
rnacentral:rRNA from 1 species